CCCUAAAGGACACUUGUAGACUACGAGUUUGAUAGGCUGGGUGUGGAAGGCUCGUGAGGGCUGUAGCUAACCAGUACUAAUCGUCCGUGCGGCUUAACAUC
rnacentral:rRNA from 1 species